UAAGAUCUUAAGUUAAUAUUAAACUAAAAACCUUCAAAGUUUUAAAUGGGACUCCAGAUCUUG
rnacentral:tRNA from 1 species